CAUUAUACUAGAAGUAAUCAUAUGCAUGGUGCAUUACUGUAAUCCACUUUUUCUUAUUUUCCAGAUAAUGAUUGCCUCUGUGAUACAAUAAUAUAAUACCAUCACUACAUUCAAUUUUUUUUCAGCCAAAUGCAUUUAAUUCUGGUAAUGAUAAAAAAAUCAAUGCAUCAUUAUAUCUAUAAGACUAUCAUACUGAGCAAGAAGAAUAUAGCAUUAUACAUUUUAUAUAUUUUAAUUUGGAAAAAUUUAAGGUACCCAUUGCAUAUAUAUAUUACCUGGAUUUGUAAUAGGCAAGUAAAAGAUAAGGGGGGGAAAUUUGUCAUUCCAAAGUUAAGUCCUUGAUGAUAUGUUUUUCCAGAUGUGUGUGUGUGUAAGAAAAAAAAUCAACACAAAAUAGAAAAGGACAUGUUCCAGAUACGACCAAAAAUAAUAUUGAAAUUGUUUAUAAUGUUCUCUUGGAGAACUCUUUUCCUUAGGAAUGAUGGAUUCUAAGGGAAAUGAAUUAGUGUAUCUCUAAAUAGCAUUUGUUUGUUUUAUCUAUGAAAAUUUCCAAAAAAUAAUUUUGUAGAAGUUGGAGAGUUGGAAAUACCUGAAUGUAAUUUUUUUUAAUCUUAGAAAUUAUUGAGAAUGUUGCUUAACUCCAUGAUUCUCAGUUUUUAACUAAAAUAUGCAUUAUACUCCUCCAUAUUAUUGUGUGGAUUAAAGGAUAAAAGUUAAAGCAACUAGCAUAAGUACCCAGUACACCUCAUUCUCUUUCUUUCUUGUCCCACUGCCUUUCAGAAGACCAUUUGCCAUUAUUUUCAGAGAUUUCAUAUGUGUUAGGACGGUUAUUUUCUUAUAGCUUUUAAAAUAAGGACAUUAAUAAGUUUUUAAUUCUAUUGAAUUAUACCUUCAUUUCUAGAAGGUAGAAAAGCCUACUGAUUAAAAAAAAAAUCUAAGUUAAAUAUGUUAAAUAUAUCAAUUAUCCCUGAAAUUCAGUUAAGCAACUGAAUUUUCUAUUUUUCUUUUAAAUGAGUAAUAUGAACUACAUGACAAAGAAUUUUUGUCUCUGUUUUUUGUUGUUAUAUCCCCAGGGCUAGAAAAACACCCAAGACAUAUGCACUCAAGGAAUAUUUGUGGGAUUGAAAAUACAAUGACUUUUGAGUUGUUACCCAUUUUCCUCAAUCCAUUUUAAUUGGAAAUAACUAUCUUGAUUUGAUUUUAUUAAAAAUAGACAAUUCAGCAUUUUCAAUAAUAAUGUUCAAUUAUUUUCAUUUUAACUUAAAGUACAAAACUGAAAAAGUAAUAUAUAUGCUAGAAACUCAAUAAAUGUCUCAGUCUCAUCAUUUUUGGAAAUAUCAAGCAUUCUUAUUUAUUCAAACUAUUUGGAAAAGAAUAACAUAUACUGUCAUGCAAAUAUGAAAGGAAUGAUAACAUAAAGUCAACAAGUUUUAUCCUAGAAAAGAUUUUUAAUAGCAAUUUGCAAAAUUGAGUGCUUAGUAUAACUCUUGUUCAAAAGAACAGAAUACAACUGUGGAUUCUGGUCUCAGGUAAACAUUCCAUCUGGUGGAACUGAAAGACUUGAAGUUUGUGAUUAUGUCACUAUGCUCUUAUUCUGUAGCUAAUUUUCUAAAUACAUAUACAUUAAUUUAAACAUAUAUAUAUAUAUAAAUUUUCUUUUAAUCUUCCACAAUUAAAAAAAAGAGUUCUACAGAACAAAAGGAAGACAAGAGCUACCAUCUGGAGAGAAAAGUUUUAGAUACAUCAUCAAAGACAGUGAACCCUGGAAGAUCUUGAACUAUUAUUCUUUAAUUUUUAAUCAUGAAAAUACUUGCUAGGAAAAGAGACUGUCUAAAUAGCAGCCACUUUUAUAUUCAGAUAUUUGCCAUCUAAAGUAAUUGGAUGUCAGAUGAGGAACUGCCUGUCAUAUUUUACUAUUAAAAUAAUACAUUUUUGUGCAUAACCAGACAUGCCUUAGUGAGUUACUGUAGCCUGUGGUCUCCCUGAGAUUUUCCAAUGGGAUUUUAAUAAUACUUUUAUGUUUGCCAUCUUAAGCAGUACAGGCUGUUAAACUCAAUUUGUAAGAAAAAUAUUCAGGUAUAAAACCAGAUAAUCUGUAUCCCUUUGGAAUCAAAAGUCACUUUGCCAAAAUAUUUUAACACGCGAAAUUGCUUCUUGAGAGAUGUUUGCCAUGAUAAAAUGACAGAAAACUACAUUUCCAUUAUAAUUAUAACUGACUCAUGGUGCUAAGUUUUUAUAAUUUAAAGGUAUUCUCAACUCUGACAGCCCUUCCAUGUUGAAUUAUGCAUCUCAGGCUCUUAAAUAGUUCUGCUGGCACAAGACAGCUGAGAUGAAGUUGUCUUUCUAAAAUAAUUGCUCCAUGGAGCAUCCAUUAUACCUUCAGAAAAAAUGUAUUACUUGACUUCUACAAAUUAUAGACUAGCCUAUAAUGGGUAUUUUUGACAGCUAUUAGCUUAAAAAAAAUCCGAACAGUAAAAUGAGUAUUGAUAUCACAAUGGUGUGCUGUGCAUGUUAAUAUCAACCUUCUCUGUACUUUCCUUCUAAAGCAUGAUGUAAUCAUUAAUUAUAAUAAUAUUGAUGUAACUGAACUCAUGCUAAAAAUACAGUAUUGGCAAACUAUGUCAUUUUCUCACCUAUGAGACAAAAAGCAUUAACUGAAUACUUACAGUACGUAUUGAAGGCACCAUCCAAGUUUAAAAGGUAAAAAAUGAGAAAUCACUUGGGUGAUUUUUUUUUUUGAAUCAUCAAAUUACUGGGUAUAUUUUAAAAAUUAUGAAUGAGAAAAUAAUCAGAUAAAGAUAAAGAUAAUAUGUUUGUAUCUACCAAAUUCCUCUUUGAAAUAUUGAGCACUGGUGAAAACAUGAGUUAUCACUGAUUUGUUGAAAUGUAUAUUAUUUUUUAUCAAGAAUUUUAUGCCUUAAGUUUUUGUGGAAGUUAAAAUUUCCCUAAUAAAAAUACUUGCAAAUGUCUUCAUAGGAAUAUUCUAUUUCAUGGAACUAUAAUGAUCCCAUUAUUAAAAUCCAAAAUGAAAACAUUAGUGACAGUCAGGAAACAGGGUCAAAGUCUACCCUCACUGCUUCUAUGUAUAUCAAUUAAUUGCAGUCAUGUGAAUGAAAAUAUUUGUUGUUAAAUUUAGGAGAGUUCUAAGCAAAUAUAGGUAAAGUUUUAAAUAUGUGUGGUAAAUAUCUUCCAAGUCUAUUGCAUUGCUAAGUUUCUCUGUUUUGGUUUUUUAGGGGUUUUUUUUGGUGGUUUUUUGGUUUUUUUGUUUGUUUGUUUGUUUUUAGUUUUUAAUAUGAUCACCUUAGGAAGAAAUGGCUUAGGUUCCCAUGUAUCUUCCAUAUAAACAAUUCACAGACUUGGACAUCCACGUGCAUACCUCCCAUCUGAAGAAAUCCAAAAGCUAAAAUAUAUAAUUAAACUUAAGGUUAAUUAAUAUAUUCAGUGAAGGUGUAUCAUCUGCCUAGUCAGUCUAGUCCACGCUGCAAAGAACUGAUCACAUCAUUAUUCUUUAUACCUCUUCCUUAUUAACCAUAUCCUAGAGGGCUCAUCCAUCCACACCAAAAACGGCACCCAUAUGUGGUCUCUUCAAAUUACCUUUCACUUUAAGUUCAUCGUCACCUCUUAGGUUCAUAGUAGAAGGACAUGUCUUGUGCUAAGCUCCAGCACUCUAUCUGCUACUUACUGAAGCUUAAGUUGGGUGGUGAUGAUGGAGAGGAUGAUAGAUGGAAAUAUGAUGGAGUUUUAGUACAUCUUUCCAGUCCCUAUUUUCUUACUUUCACAUCUCUUAUUCAAAUAAAGUAUUUAGAAGGACUAGCUGAAGAGAAAGAGAAACAUUUCAAAAUAAACCUUUAAUAGAUACUUUUAAGAGAAUAGGGAUAGGGAAGAAAGAAAAUAGGAUACAGUGACUUUGUAAUACCGUGCUAUACUUUAACCCUCACACCUUUUAUCUCUUUAUAGUGACCGCAGGGGGUAGACAGCAAGGUGGAGGAAAAUACCCACCAAAUUACAUUAAGGUGACCACAGUUAUUCAUGAUGAUCUAAAUUAAAAUUUCUACCAUGUAUCACUUUUUAAAAAAUGAGCGGCCUACAUUCUGACAGCAUGAUAGCUUUUCAAAAUAUUUAUUGUAGUUCUAAAUUAUUAAGUUAUUAACUAAAAUCAUUCAUCUGUAUACACAGUUGAGACAUUAUAUGUAGAAUUACCAAACCAACAAAUCUCUACUCCUUCCACCAAAGCAAAAUUGCUUAGAGCAAUGUAAUGACUGUUUUUAUUUCAGGGAACUUGAAUAAUAUAUCUCUACACCUUUAAAAAUCUUUGAAAAACAGGUUUUUGUUUGUUUUGUUUUGUUUUUUUAAUGGGAAGGAUUACCUACCGUCAAUAACAUUUAUGUAUUACAUUCUUUAAGGCUGUGUUAUUCCUGCAUUUAUUGUGAACAAAAUCCAACAUGUACAUCACAUGUGUGCACACACACUUAUGAGUGAUGGUAAAAUUACAUAUAAAAUAGUCUGUCCAGCUUCAGUGGAUUUUUGUGUGAUUUUAAUGACCUCUUUACAUUUUUCUAUAGCCUUCAAGUUUUCUACAAUAAGAAUAAUUAUUUAUUUUUGUUUUAUUCAAGCAAUCCAAAAAUCUGUUCCAAAAUUUUUCAAGAACAGAAAUACAAAGUAAAAAGUUGAAGUAUUUUUUCUUGAUGUCUUGACACAUCCCAUCCUCUUGACCUCUAACCCCAGUAACUCAUAUUUUCUGAAAUACAACUGAUGUUAAUUGUUUGCAAGACCCACCUAGACCUUAAUUUUCUGCUCUUAUAUACAAUGUGUAGAGGACUACAGUUUCGCUAUUCCUUAUUCAAUCUCUCAAGAUAGAGAAAAAAAUAAUCUUACCCCAGCUUCCUUGCAGACAGGGGUGUGAUGUCCUAUGCUCAAUGAAAUAGAAGGAGAAAUACUUCUUUUGGGGUUUUGGGAAACUUCCUAAAGUGUCAUAUUCCUCUCUACCCGCUUCUCUUUCCCUUUUUCCUGUCUGGAGCUGUCAAGGUGUUUGUGGGGAGGGAUGGUGGCAGCAGCAUCUUGCAAACACAGUGACAAGGGCCACAUCUUUUGAAAAGGAAAACAAGUAAACCAAAGACCAAGCAACCAACCAAACAAAAAACUAAAGAAAGCUGAACUCUUCUUGAUGUUGUUGUAACACUGAAUGGUAAGCUCUGUUUUUCUGUGUGACAGAAUAAUGAAUCAUAAGCCCCUUUCUUGCUUAACCGAAUGUUAUUUAUGUUUCCUAUUACAAGAGUUGAUCUGAAUUUCUAGUUAAAAAUAUAUAGGUACAUUUAAAACUAUAACUCUGUUUCUUAAUUUUAUAUGACAUCAUAAGGUAUUCUGUUUCAAAUUGUUUUUAUUCACUUAAUGACAUUUUUAAGGUAUUUUCAUUUUAGCACAUACAGGCAAAAAUUUUAUGUAGAUUAUUCAAUUGUAUUGAUGAAGCAUCAUUAAUUUAAUUUAGAUGCUUAGGUGGCAUCCAAUAUUUGGUUAUUGAAGUCAGUAUACAAAUAUAUAUCUUUGUAUAUGCAUGUGUAUUUCUUGAGGUAAAUGCAUAGAAGUAUAAUUUCUGAGUUCAAAGAUAAGUGUAUUUUGAAUACUGAUGAAUAUUUUGAGAACCUUAACUACAUUUUUCUCCCACCAUAUUGAGUGUCUUUUCCUCCACAGUCAAUGUUAUCACACGUAGGAAUCUUUUUGUCCAUUUUCAUGGAAUAAUAUGAAAUUAUAUUGUUUUUGUUUGCAUAUACAAGUUACUAUUGAGUUUUAGCAUAUAUUCACUUAUUUAUAGCCAUUUGUGUUUCUUAUCAAGUAAGUUGCUACAUGAACCAUAAAAACUACAUCCAUUGGGCUCUCCUUUUGUUGUUUUUAAGAAACUCUUUAUAUAAGAAAAAGAAGCUUUUAUUUGUGGCAUACAUAUUUGCCUAAUCUGUCUGUGGCAGAGACAGUCAUUCACUGGACUUUUUUUUGUAAAUGCUGAAAUAAAUUAGUACUUUAUUUAUACCUCUAUGUUUUGCUUCUUGUAUAUCACACAUUCCUCUCUUUUGUAUUUUUCACUUUGCUUCAGUGCAUUCCAGAUAAUUAUUUCAGAUAAAUAAAUUUAGAAGGAGAUACUUUUAUUGCACUCUUAUGUAAAUGAUUUUUUUCCCUUUUAUUUUAAUUUAACUUUAAUUACUCUGUUGUUUUCAGUUUUAAGGCAUUGUUCCAUAGGAUCUUGUCUUAUUUAGAGAUAUUAUCAUUCCUUAUCUCUUUGAUAGGAAGCCUGACUUUUAUUUCUAUUUUCCCCUUUCUUUGAAAGCUGUUAGUGACUUUAGAAGUUUCAGAGUUCCUGUCAUGGCUCAGUGGAAACGAAUCUGACUAGCAUCCAUGAAGACACAGGUUCAGUCCCUGACCUCAUGCAGUGGGUUAAAGAUCUGGCGUUGCCAUGAACUUAGUUGUAGGUUGCAUAGGUGGUUCAGAUAUGAUGUCACUGUGGCUAUAGUAUAGGCCGGCAGCUACAGCUCCAAUUUGACUCCUAGCCUGGGGACCUCAAUAUGCCGUGAGUGCG
rnacentral:lncRNA from 1 species